CCCUUUUGAAUUUUUUUUUCUUUUUCAUUUCAGCAUAAGUAUCAGAUUUUCAUACAAGCAAAGGCUCACACACUUUUGGCACUCACAGAUGUGUAAUAUUGGAUCCUUUUCCGCAAUAAAUAAAUGACCAAGUGUAAUAUUUAUGUCUCAUUUGUUUAAUUAGGUUUGAUGAUUAAUGAUGUUUUAGGUCGUAUUCAUGCAGAAAUAUAGAAAAUUCACAAACUUUCAAGCACCACUGUAUGUCUAUGAUGGUCCGUGUCCACAUAGUUUUGGCCAUAUAGUGUAUUAGGCUCAUAGCACCAGUGGAAAAUGACAAAAUCGAGCUUUAGACAGCAGAAUGACGGGCAUUUCCGAGCUGAAAAGGCAGAGCUUUAAGUUAUAUUUGAUCAGCCAAUCACAAGUUUGACUAACGUCCGCAUCAUCUGCGUCUGUAUUAUAUUACUCUAUUUGUAUUUGUCUUAUUUUGGAUUAUAUCUGUUACGUUUCUUCGGGGUUUUUUUUACAAUUAGUAUGUAUUUAAUUAAGUAUGUAAUUAGUAUGUAUUUUCCUUCUGUAUGGGUCGUGGUUACUUUGUGAAGAAUCUAAUCAGGCUGUCUCAAUAGUUUGUUGAUGGGGGAGGUCACGACGGGCCCCUCCAAAAAUAGUAAUUAUUCAAUUAAACUUAAAAUUAAUAAUACAUUUAAAAACGCAAGACUAAAUGAUAGAUAGAUAGAUAGAUAGAUAGAUAGACAGACAGAUAGAUAGAUAGAUAGAUAGAUAGACAUAUAGAUAGAUAGAUAGAUAGAUAGAUAGAUAGACAGACAGAUAGAUAGAUAGAUAGAUAGAUAGAUAGAUAGAUAGAUAGAUAGAUAAACAGACAGAUAGAUAGAUAGAUAGAUAGAUAGACAGACAGACAGGUAGACAGACAGACAGACAGAUGGAUAGACAGAGAGACAGAUAGACAGACAGAAAGAUAGAUAGAUAGACAGAGAGACAGAUAGACAGAGAGACAGAUAGAUAGACAGACAGAAAGAUAGAUAGAUAGACAGUUAGAUAGAUAGAUAGAUAGAUAGAUAGAUAGAUAGAUAGAUAGAUAGAGAGACAUAUAGAUAUAUAUAUAGAUAGAUAGAGAGACAUAUAGAUAUAUAUAUAUAGAUAGAUAAUAGAUAGAUGUAACUUCCCAUAGUUACUACUAUAAUAGUAUUAGGAGAACAUUAGAACAUUAGGAGACUAAUGCUAGGGAACUGUUUUCCUGUGUAUAUAAACCAGUAUUUUCACACAGAGAAGUGAGUCACGUCAGUGAUUGGAUGAUCGAACUGAAGCUCUGCCCUUACUGAAACAGG
ensembl:lncRNA